GAUGAACGCUGGCGGCGUGCCUAAUACAUGCAAGUCGAACGCACAGCGAAAGGUGCUUGCACCUUUCAAGUGAGUGGCGAACGGGUGAGUAACACGUGGACAACCAGCCUCAAGGCUGGGGAUAACAUUUGGAAACAGAUGCUAAUACCGAAUAAAACUCAGUGUCGCAUGACACAAAGUUAAAAGGCGCUUUGGCGUCACAUAGAGAUGGAUCCGCGGUG
rnacentral:rRNA from 1 species